rnacentral:hammerhead_ribozyme from 1 species
GUCCAGAUGAUGAGUCCCGAAUAGGACGAAUUGCACAUCCUGGAU